rnacentral:rRNA from 1 species
UACAUGUGGGGCAAGCGUUGUUCGGAAUUACUGGGCAUAAAGGGUGCGUAGGCGGCUUGUUAAGUCAGGGGUGAAAUCCCACGGCCCAACCGUGGAACUGCCUUUGAUACUGGCGAGCUUGAGUGCGUGAGGGGUAAUCGGAACGAGUAGUGUAGCGGUGAAAUGCGUAGAUAUUACUCGGAAGGCCAAAGGCGAAGGCAGGUUACUGGUACGCAACUGACGCUGAGGCACGAAAGCGUGGGGAGCAAACAGG